rnacentral:rRNA from 1 species
GACGAACGCUGGCGGCGUGCCUAAUACAUGCAAGUGGAACGCUUGUUAAUCACCGGAGCUUGCUCCAUCGAUUGACAAGAGUCGCGAACGGGUGAGUAACGCGUAGGUAACCUACCUCUUAGCGGGGGAUAACUAUUGGAAACGAUAGCUAAUACCGCAUAACAAUAGAGAUCACAUGAACUUUAUUUAAAAGGAGCAAUUGCUUCACUAGGAGAUGGACCUGCGUUGUAUUAGCUAGUAGGUAGGGUAACGGCCUACCUAGGCUCCGAUACAUAGCCGACCUGAGAGGGUGAUCGGCCACACUGGGACUGAGACACGGCCCAGACUCCUACGGGAGGCAGCAGUAGGGAAUCUUCGGCAAUGGGGGGAACCCUGACCGAGCAACGCCGCGUGAGUGAAGAAGGUUUUCGGAUCGUAAAGCUCUGUUGUAAGAGAAGAAUGUUGAGUAGAGUGGAAAGUUACUCAAGUGACGGUAUCUUACCAGAAAGGGACGGCUA